UAUAAGCUUAACAGGAAAGAAAAGAAUAAAGACAUAUUCUCAAAGGCAUAUAGUUGGAGCAGCUCUAUUUAUACCCGUUCCUCCAUCUGUCAUCAUUACUUAAACGAUUCGUUAACAGAUGCUCAUUUAGUACCUCACAUAUUCUCCAUAUCUCAUCUUUCACACAAUCUCAUUAUCACUAUGAAGAUGUUCUUGUUUUUGAACGAAUCAUACAUCUUUGAUAGACUUCGUAUGUGGAGUAUUGUUUUAUGGCACUCAUGUGUAUUCGUAUGCGCAGAAUGUGAGAAUGCCAAUUAUAGGGGUGCCGAGGUGCCUUGA
rnacentral:sRNA from 1 species